AGGCAUAAUCCUGUAUUCCUAGAACCUGAAAAGCUGGUGAAGGAGGAUCAGGUGUCUAAGGCCACUAGAGAACCUUUAUCAAAUAAAUAGCUUGACCAAAUGCCUUUUCAAUAGCUCUCUACCUCUUCUCUUCUGUAUCAGAUUGUACUUUCCUGAGAAAAACAGAAGAAAUUGAAAGGUGAACUAUUUCACCAUCUCUACUCUGUAUGCAUCCAUCUGUUACAAAGGAUAUCGUUUGACUUCAAUCUCCAUGUUAACCUUCAUGUUUGUAACAGAGUCCUUGGUGGAGGACCACAAAGAAUAGAUUGUUUGACCUCAAAAGGAGAUCUAUUGGUCUGAGAAGUUUACACUCCCAAAUCCUGAGACUGGGUACCCACGGGUACAAGAAAAUUCAUCUCGAAGGGUCUGAAAAUUAGUUUUUGCAGUCAGGAGGAGGAAGGGCUUGUAGAAUUUAUUUUAUUUUAUUUUAUUUUAUUUUUGGUAAACUGCUCUUCAAAACUUCCUGAUGGGGGAAAUGAGUCAGAUUGAUUUUUCAAACUCUGGGAUCCCAGGCAUCUGAUGGAGAUAGUUGCUUUCCAAAACUCCAUACCACUCCGUAGAGGGGCCGAUUUCUCGAAGCCGGGGAUGGGGGGAGGGGGUCUGUUGUGAAGCCCUGCUUUUUUUUUUUUUUUUUAAAAUGGUAGAGGGUUCUUUAUUAGUUCUAGACUUUAAAAGAGUACUUGCUACCAAGAAAAGCGCACUACCAGAUGCCUGUUAACCGAGCAGCACAAAAAGUGAAGAGGAGCCAGCAACAGGGUUUCAAUGGAGUAAGAAGCACCUGCCUUAGAAAUCUUUGGUAGCAAGGACAGCACAAGCAGCUGAAAGGCCCUGGCGUAUUAUUGAAUUGAGCUGAGCAGGGAGGGGCAGGCGUGGUUUUUGCAGGAUUCCGUUUAGAGCCGCCUCCACCCCAAGCUGAGCAAAUGCCGGGCGCAGGACCGCCUCUCUCGUGAGAGUCACAAGGUCCGAAUCACUGCGCAGGUCCGUGACGCAUUCGGGCGCCUCUACCGGAAGGACCGCCCAGGCCAAGAUGGCUGCCCAGCCAGGGCCCGGAAGUGCUGCCUCCCCCGGCUGUGCCGGGGCCAUGGAGCGGGUCCUGCCCAUGCUGCUGGUGCGGAUCCCAGCUGAGGAGACGGCGCAGCUGGGACCGCGGGCGCAGCUGCACCGAGAGCUGGAGGCCCUGGGGAGCCUGACGGCUGCGGGCAGUCUCCAAGUGCUUUCCUUGGCGCCGGGCAGCAGGGGUGGGAGCAGCUGCUGCCUCCCAGGACCCUUUAGGCAGUUCCUAUGGGAGGAGUCUCAGAACAGCACAUCAAGAGACAGGCCCAAGCUGCUUGUUGCCAGAGAAGAUUAUGAGCUGCUCGUAUAUGAAUUUGACUUGAGAGAUGGAAGAUGUGACGCAGCCUUAUUACACGGCUGUUGUGGGAGGACACUGCAGAAGCUCACUGAAGAUCAAGGUGUCAGUAUUUCCUUCAAGUCUUUGAGAAUUCUGUCAUUUCACAACAACACGUCAUUACUGCUCAUCAACAGAUGUCUCAUCCUACGCGUUGUGUUUCCGGGGAAAGAACCUGGGGUCCCAGUGCUGGACUGCCUCUCACUGCCCCUGCCUGCACAGGCAGCGGACAUGAUCAUUGAUGCACAGCUCUGUGAGAGAUUUCUUUUUGUUCUGAGCACAGUGGGCUUGAUCUAUAUUUUUAACACUAUGGAUGGCACGCAGGUAGCGCAAGUGGACCUGGCUCUUCUCAGAGAAGAUUCUGAGCAGCUGGAGCCCGCCAGUGUCUCUUCCUUUACAUCGCUGAGAGUGUCUCAGGACUUGGAUGUUCUGGUGCUGGUCAGCUCAGCCAGUACUGCAGUUGCUCUUAACCUACAUUUGUAUUUCAGGCAACAUCCGGGACACCUACUGUGUGAAGGAACACUGGAAGACCUUCCUAUUGAAGGGCCUCCAGGGAUAGAUGAAGACGACCUGGUUAACUCUGCCCACAACAUGAAACUGAGCAAGGUGUCCUUUCAAGUUGAUAGGUCCUGGAGAGCCCAGCUGUUGUCACUGAAUGAAUCAGUGAGGGGCUCGGAACCAGAGGUUUCCUGCUGUGCUCCGUGGUUCCAGAGUGCUUUGCGUUUGGAGUCCCUGGAAUCUGCUGACCACACCCCCACUGUGCCAACCCACGUUUUCAUUCCCGGGGAUGUCCCACGUGGCCGGUGUGCUUUUCCUCAGAAGGAGCACGUGAAGAGCAGUGAUCCAGGAAGGCCGUGGAAGACAAUGCACCUGAGUGAACAUGAGCAGCCCACGGAGCUCACGUGCCUGUCUGUGACGGGAUUUACUGCACUGUUUACCUGGGCAGUAGGAGCGACCAGCUGCACCAUCGGCCUCUGGGACUUGGAGACCCAGAGCAUGCAGUGUUUUUCUCUCAGCCAGAAGUGUACUCCUGUAGACAUUGGCGGAGACCAGCAGCUGUGCCUUGCUUUGACAGAUGAUGGUCUGUCUCUGAUUUUGUUUGGUUUAACCCAAGAGGAGUUUUUGAACAGACUAAUGAUCCACGGCAGCGCCAGCACUGUGGACUCCCUUUGUCAUCUCAACGGUUGGGGACGGUGCUCAAUCCCUAUCCACGCUCUAGAGGCUGGCAUAGAAAAUCGUCAGCUGGACACAGUAGAUUUCUUCUUGAAGAGCAAGGAAAAUCUUCUUACUCCGUCUUCACAAUCUCCUGCUCCUGAUCAGCAGCAUCCCUUUUCAUCCCAUCUGUACCUAAGACAGGUAGAAGAGAUGAGCCCAGCCCUGGAUUUACUAUGCUCAGCAAUUAGAGAAAGUGACUCGGAAACCCAAAGCAAACACUUUGCUGAGCAGCUGCUUCACCUCACACUGUCCUUCCUUAACAAACAGAUAAGGGAGCUUUGUGUUCACACUGAAGAGCUAGAUGAGCAUUUUCAGAAAGGAGUGGCCAUUUUGACCAGCUACAUCAAUGAGCUUCGGACUUUUAUGAUAAAGUUUCCUUGGAAACCAGGAGAUGCCAUAGAUGAAUCUGAUGUAAAUGAAGGUGUCGUCACAGUGAAGGAGGACCGGGUUUGGGAGGAACUCAGCUUUGAGGAAGUUAUUGCUGAUGCCAUUUUAAAUAACAGAAUACCAGAGGCACAAACUUUCUUUAGGAUUAGUGGUCAUUCCGCUCAACGACUGGAGGAACUGGUUAGGAUCGGCCUAGAUCUGGCAUUUGACAGUUUAAAAAAGAACAACGUGGAGGAGGCCUCGAGGCUCCUGAGGAACAUGGGCUUCAGUGUGGAAGAUGAGUUGCUUAAGAUAUGCUUUUAUACAACUGAUAAAAAUAUACGGGACUUUUUGGUUGAAAUUUUAAAAGAAAAGGAAUGUUUUUCUGAAAAAGAAAGAAGAACUGUAGACUUUGUUCAUCAACUUGAAGCACUUUAUUCUGGACACUUCCAGGAAAAUGCACAGACGCAGGCUUUCCCCAGGUAUUGGAUAAAGGAACAGGACUGUUUCAAACACAAAUCUGUCUUGGACACAUUCCUCAAAUAUGAUAAAAAAGAUGAGUUUCACAAACAGGACCAUAGAAUUGCAUUGAAUUGGGCUCACCGGUGGGAUCUCCAAACACAGGAAUGUAUCCUUCUCCGCAGACUAAGUCCAGAAGAAUACAAAGCGCGCUCCCCGGAAGCCCUGUGGAGACACCUCACGGCUCGCCAUGACUGCUCAAGCAUCAGCUUGUGGAUGGAAGAAUUUCAGACCCAGGAAACCGAGUCACCUCAGCAGAGCAAGUGGCCCCCUCUGAGUGCUGACAUCAUUGAGCAGGGCACUUGCUGCCACAGUCACAUGAGGAAUGAGAUUUUAGACAAGCUGGCCAGAAGUGGCAUUUUUCUUGCAUCUGAGCUGGAAGACUUUGAACGUCUCCUCCUGAGGCUGAGCCGGAUUGGGGGCGUAAUGCAGGACAGCCUCCCCGUGCAGAGCUACAAAUCCCGUGCAGGGUGUGACUUUCAUUCCCGGUUCAUCCUCUACUGUUUAGAGCACGGCCUACAGCAUCUUCUCUACACCUAUCUUGACUAUUACAAACUUAGUCCUGGAAAUUGUCCUUUUUUGGAAAAGAAAGAACUACAUGAAGCUCACCCUUGGCUUGAAUUUUUGGUUCAAUGUCGGCAAGUCUCCAGUAACUUGACAGAUCCCAAACUCAUCUUUCAGGCUAGCCUUGCAAAUGCUCAGAUUUUGAUUCCCACCAAUCAGGCCAGUGUGAGCAGUAUGCUGUUGGAAGGACACACCCUCCUGGCCCUUGCUACCACCAUGUAUGCUCCAGGGGGUGUCAGCCAGGUCAUUCAGAAUGAAGACAGCGAGAACUGUUUGAAGAAAGUGGACCCCCAGCUACUGAAGGUGGCUUUAACACCUUACCCAAAGCUCAAAGCUGCGCUCUUCCCACAGUACACUGCUCCUAGUAUUCUGCCCUCUGAUAUUACACUCUACCACCUCAUCCAGUCCUUGCCGCCCUUUGAUCCUAGCCGGCUGUUCGUCUGGCAGUCUGCCAACACACUAGCUAUAGGAGACACAGGCAGUCAGCUCCCACACUUUUCCAGCCCUGACCUGGUGAGUAAAUACGCUGUGCUGGAACGGCUGAACUACGCGUAUUAUCUACAUCACGGACGCCCGUCGUUUGCCUUUGGCACCUUUCUGGUCCAGGAGUUGAUCAAGAGUAAGACUCCCAAACAACUGAUCCAGCAAGUAGGCAAGGAGGCCUAUACCUUAGGGCUCUCUUCCUUCACCAACCCUUCGGUAGGGGCUGCCUGUGUCUGCUUCUUAGAAUUGCUUGGCCUCAGCAGCCUCAAGCUCAGAGUUGACCUGAAAAUGGCAAAUGUAAUUUUGGGCUCCAAGCGUAGAGAUGAAGAUGCUCGUUCCAGCUUCAUCAGAGAGUCUCUGGCUGAGAAGCUGUCUAAGCUUGCUGACGGUGACAGAGCAGCCACAGAAGAGCUGCUUGUUCUCUUGGAGGAAGGCGUGUGGGACAGCAUUGAGCAGCAGGGCUUUAGCAGGUUGUCCAGUGAGUCCAGCAGCCAGUGGGCAUUAGUGCUUCAGUUCUGCAUGCUCCAUGACAGGAAGCUGAGCGUGUCCUACCUUAGAGAAUGUGCCAAAGCCAAUGACUGGCUGCAGUUCCUGGUCCACAGCCAGCUGCAUAACUACCACCCAGCAGAGGUGGAAUCUCUUCUUCAGUAUUUCAGUCCUGUCCUUCAGAGCCACUUGAAGCUGGCUUCUGAGAAACUGUCAUCAGGGUCCAUCUCUAGGGAUGACAGCUGCCUCCAGGAACUCCAGAAAAACAAAGGAGAAACGAGUAAUUUCUUUGAAAUUCUCCACCGGUGCUCAGAUGAGUCCACCUCUUGGAGCUGGCUCCUGGCUGAGGCAGUGAGACAUCGGGCUCCCAUCCUCAGUGUCCUGGCCUCGUGUGUGCAGGGUGCCAGUGUUGUCUCCUGUCUCUGUGUUUGGAUUGUCACCUCCGUGGAGGACAAGGUUGCAGCUGAAGCAAUGGGACACAUUCAGAUCUCUGUAGAGGACCAUCACUGGAGCCUGAAGGACCUGUCCAUCAUCUGGAGAACUGUAUUGACAAGACGCAAGAGCCACACUCUCAUCCGAGGUUUCCAGCUCUUUAUUAAGGAUUCCCCACUUCUAUUGAUUAUGGAGAUGUAUGAACUGUGUAUGUUCUUCAAGAAUUACGAGAAAGCCAAAGUUAAACUUUUGGAGUUCCAGAAAAGCCUUGAAACACUUGACACAGUGGCCGCAAGGGUCCUUCCUAUCAUACCUGCCUCGUGGAUGAAAGACCAGGUUUGUUUCCUUUUGAAACUUAUGCCGCAGCAGUGUGAGACGCAGUAUGAGCUGGGGAAACUCCUCCAACUGUUUGUUGGCACUGAGCAGCUCUUCUCUGACGGGCCAGACGUGCAGAAGCUGUGUCUCCUCAGCCAAGUGCUGAAGGACACACCUAUCGCCAUUAGCCCUGCAGUCAUUUCCAGCUACAGCACUGAGAACUUUCAGCGGGAAUGUAGAUCUAUUUUGGAGAAGCUAAAAGCAGAUGGGCAGUUUGCUGUGGCUAGGAGAGUGGCCGAGUUAGCAGCCCUGCCUGUGGACAGCUUGCUGAUUGAACAGUUAACUCAGGAAAUGCAAACACUAACACACACUCCGCAGUGGUCCCUGAAACAAGAAAGACUUGGCUUCUGGAAAAAAUGCCAUGAAAUUUUUAAGAAAAACUCUAUUUCAAAGAGAGCAGCCUCUUCCUUCUUCUCUAGCCAAGCCCCCGAGGUGAGUGAGCACCCUGCUGAACAGGGCAGCCUUGAGGAGCGCCAUCUGCUGCUCACUCUGGCUGGCCACUGGCUUGCCCAAGAAGAGCCGGUUCCCGUGGAGGAACUGGAGGGGCUGGAGAAACAGAUUUGGAUCUGCCGCGUCGCCCAGCACACAUGUGGAGGGGCUGAAGAGGAAGCCAAGCCCAGCCUCUCUCAACACAAGUUGGCUGCUGCUGAACUUUCUUUUGAUAGCUUAGCCAGUGAGCUGUCCUUCUCCAAGCUCGCUGCUUUGAACACAUCCAAAUACUUAGGCCUUAAUGAUCUUCCAUCCAAGACGACGUGUGAGAACAGACUGAAACACAAAGAGCAGGAGUCACUGAACACUUUGAUCGGGCAGCUGCUGGAUGGUGGCUGUGUGCAUGAAGCAAGCAGAGUGUGCCAGUAUUUCCGUUUCUAUAGCCAGGAUCUAGUGCUGGUGUUGCACUGCAGAGCCUUGGCCUCCGCAGAAGCCACCAUGGAAGACUUGCACUCAGAGAUCCGUGCCCUCCUCUCAAGUGCCGCACAGCCUGAGGACCUGGAGAGCCCGAGUGUCCCUCUUCGGAAAGCCCAUAGCUCUUCAAGUUUGGACAGUCAGUCAUUUGUGAUGGUACCACCCACUGAUGAGGUAGCCCAGAACCUCCACACUCUCAUAAGCAAGUGCCUCCAUGGGAAGAACUACUGCCGGCAGGUCCUCUGUCUGUAUGAACUUGCCAAGGAUUUGGGCUGUUCCUAUGGAGAUGUUGCUGCUAGGGACAGUGAAGCCAUGCUCCGAGCAAUCUUGGCUUCUCAGCGGCCUGACCGAUGUAGACAAGCCCAGGUCUUCAUCAACACCCAGGGCCUUGAAGCAGACACUGUGGCUGAACUAGUGGCUGAAGAGGUGACACGGGAGCUACUGACUCCAUCAGAGGGAACAGGAGAAAAGCAACCUUUCAACCCAGCAGAGGAAAGCCAGACAUUUCUUCAGCUAACUGCUUUGUGUCAAGACCGUACAUUGUUUUAAGUUCAAGCCCAUCGGAGCAUAAGAGCUCUCUAGACAGGACUUCCCCAGCCAAGAAGUCAGUGGGAGGCCCAGGCCCACCUCACCCAUGUUCUGCCUCCCAGCCACAGAGCUCCUGAUCCUGGCCCACCACUGCUUUACCUUCACGUGCCACAUGGAAGGCAUCACCAGAGUCCUGCAAGCCGCCCGCAUGCUCACAGAUAACCACUUGGCUCCCAAUGAGGAGUACGGAUUAGUGGUCCGCCUCCUCACUGGCAUCGGGCGCUACAAUGAGAUGACGUACAUAUUUGACUUGCUGCAUCAAAAGCAUUAUUUCGAAGUUCUGAUGAGAAAGAAGCUAGACCCAACCGGCACCCUGAAGACAGCCCUACUAGACUACAUCAAACGUUGCCGCCCUGGAGACAGCGAAAAGCACAAUAUGAUUGCCCUGUGCUUCAGUAUGUGCCGGGAGAUAGGAGAGAAUCACGAGGCAGCAGCCUGCAUCCAACUGAAGCUGAUUGAGUCUCAGCCCUGGGAGGAAAGCCUCAAGGAUGGAGCCCAACUAAAACAGCUCCUGCUUAAAGCCCUGACUCUGAUGUUGGAUGCAGCAGAGAGUUACGCCAAGGACUCCUGUGUUCGACAGGCCCUGCACUGUAACCGGCUCACCAAGUUGAUAACACUACAGAUUCACUUUCUCAACAGUGGCCAGAAUACAAUGCUUAUCAACUUGGGCCAUCAGAAGCUAAUGGACUGUAUCAUGACCCUACCUCGGUUCUACCAGGCUUCUAUUGUAGCUGAGGCCUAUGACUUUGUUCCUGACUGGGCUGAAGUACUCUACCAACAAGUGAUUCUUAAAGGAGACUUUAGUUAUUUGGAAGAAUUUAAGCAGCAGAAGUUACUAAGACCCAAUAUAUUUGAAGACAUUUCCAAAAAAUAUAAACAACACCAGCCUACCGACAGGGUCACAGAAAACCUGAAGAAGUUACUUUCAUAUUGUGAAGAUAUCUACCUGUAUUACAAGUUGGCAUAUGAACACAAAUUUUUUGAAAUUGUAAAUAUGCUUCUGAAGGACCCUCAGACGGGAUGCUGCCUUAAAGAUAUGCUCGCAGGUUAGAAGAUUGGAAAGGCGCCUGAUUGCUUGUUUGUACCUAUACAGCUCUAAGGGAUGUUCAAUCCUAAUAAAGUAUUUGGAGAUCUUUACCCCCA